rnacentral:tRNA from 1 species
GGGUCGUUAGCUCAGCUGGUAGAGCAUCGGACUUUUAAUCCGCUGGUCGCAGGUUCGAACCCUGCACGACCCACCA